AAGGAUCAUUAUUGAACAAACCGGUGUGGCUGAGCUGGCCUUUUCGAAGGCAUGUGCACGGCCCGCCAUUGUUUCAUCCUUCUCUUCCACCUGUGCACUUCUGUGGGCCCACUCCAGCACACGCCUUAGUGCGCUGGAACCUGGUGCCUACGUUUCACUAUCUACACCAUUGAAUGUUCAGAAUGCAUGAAUUGGGCGUUACUGCCUAUAAAACCUUAUACAACUUUCAACAACGGAUCUCUUGGCUCUCGCAUCGAUGAAGAACGCAGCGAAAUGCGAUAAGUAAUGUGAAUUGCAGAAUUCAGUGAAUCAUCGAAUCUUUGAACGCACCUUGCGCUCCUUGGCAUUCCGAGGAGCAUGCCUGUUUGAGUGUCAUUAAAUCAUCAACCACCUCAUCUUUGAGAGGGUUGGACUUGGAGGUUCUGCUGGCCCUCUCCGGGACCCGGCUCCUCUGAAAAGCAUUAGCAGGGGCUCAUCUUGUGCGAUCUGCAGCCUUGUGUGAUAGUUAUCUACACUCGGCGCGGUCACAUUCACCCAGCUUACAACCGUCUGCCAGCGCGGACAACUUAUUUGACCACUUGACCUCAAAUCAGGUAGGACUACCCGCUGAACUUAA
rnacentral:rRNA from 1 species